UAAUUGAUCGAAUGGUUGCCA
rnacentral:siRNA from 1 species